GAUGAACGCUGGCGGCGUGCCUAAUACAUGCGAGUCGAGCGAACAGACUAUUAUCUUGCUCCUCUUACGUUAUCGGCGGACGUGUGAUUAACACGUUUAUAACCUACCUAUAAUACUUGUAUAACUUCGGGAAACCUUAUCUAAUACCGUAUAAUAUAUUUAACCGCAUUGUUCAAUAUUGAAAUACGUUUUUUCUGUCACUUAUACAUUUAUCCGCGCCGCAUUAUCUAGUUGGUAAGGUAACGGCUUACCAAGGCAACGAUGCGUAGCCGACAUGAGAGGGUGAUCGGCCACACUGGAACUGAGACACGGAACAGACGACUAAGGGAGGAAGCAGAAGGGAAUAGUACGCAAUGGGCGAAAGCAUGACGGAGCAAAGCGGAGUGAGAGAUGAAGGUGUUAGGAUCGUAAAACUCUGUUAUGAGGGAAGAAAAAAUGUGUAAGUAAAUAUGAACGUAUUGACGGUAACUAAUAAGAAAGCAACGGCUAACUACGUG
rnacentral:rRNA from 1 species